rnacentral:rRNA from 1 species
AGUGAACGCUGGCGGUAGGCCUAACACAUGCAAGUCGAACGGCAGCACAGUAAGAGCUUGCUCUUACGGGUGGCGAGUGGCGGACGGGUGAGGAAUACAUCGGAAUCUACUUUUUCGUGGGGGAUAACGUAGGGAAACUUACGCUAAUACCGCAUACGACCUACGGGUGAAAGCAGGGGAUCUUCGGACCCUGCGCGAUUGAAUGAGCCGAUGUCGGAUUAGCUAGUUGGCGGGGUAAAGGCCCACCAAGGCGACGAUCCGUAGCUGGUCUGAGAGGACGAUCAGCCACACUGGAACUGAGACACGGUCCAGACUCCUACGGGAGGCAGCAGUGGGGAAUAUUGGACAAUGGGCGCAAGCCUGAUCCAGCCAUACCGCGUGGGUGAAGAAGGCCUUCGGGUUGUAAAGCCCUUUUGUUGGGAAAGAAAAGCAGCAGGUUAAUACCCCGCUGUUCUGACGGUACCCAAAGAAUAAGCACCGGCUAACUUCGCG